CAGUAGCCGCGGUAAUACGAAGGGGGCUAGCGUUGCUCGGAAUCACUGGGCGUAAAGGAUGCGUAGGCGGGUCUUUAAGUCAGAGGUGAAAUCCUGGAGCUCAACUCCAGAACUGCCUUUGAUACUGGAGAUCUCGAGUUCGGGAGAGGUGAGUGGAACUGCGAGUGUAGAGGUGAAAUUCGUAGAUAUUCGCAAGAACACCAGUGGCGAAGGCGGCUCACUGGCCCGAUACUGACGCUGAGGCACGAAAGCGUGGGGAGCAAACAGGAUUAGAUACCCCAGUAGUCCCUGUCUCUUAUAA
rnacentral:rRNA from 1 species